GGGGGUGUGAUGAAAUGGUAUCAUGAGGGUCUCCAAAACCCUUCUUCCAGGUUCGAGCCCUGGCGCCCCUG
rnacentral:tRNA from 1 species